rnacentral:rRNA from 1 species
UAAGGAAUAUUGCGCAAUGGAGGCAACUCUGACGCAGCAACGCCGCGUGCAGGAUGAAGGCCCUUUGGGUCGUAAACUGCUGUAGCAGGGGAAUAAUGGCUCGCCACAGGUGAGCGUGCAGGUACCCUGAAAGUAAGCGCCGGCUAACUACGUGCCAGCAGCCGCGGUAAUACGUAGGGCGCAAGCGUUGUCCGGAAUCACUGGGUGUAAAGGGUGCGUAGGCGGAUGGGUAAGUCAGCGGUGAAAUCUCACGGCUCAACCGUGAAACUGCCGAUGAUACUGCCCAUCUUGAGUUCGGGAGAGGUCGAUGGAAUUCCAGGUGUAGCGGUGAAAUGCGUAGAUAUCUGGAAGAACACCAGUGGCGAAGGCGGUCGACUGGCCCGUAACUGACGCUGAGGCACGAAAGCGUGGGGAUCAAACAG